rnacentral:rRNA from 1 species
UACGUAGGGGGCAAGCGUUGUCCGGAUUUAUUGGGCGUAAAGAGCGUGUAGGCGGCUUUGCAAGUCCGUUGUGAAAACUCGAGGCUCAACCUCGAGACGCCGGUGGAAACUGCAAAGCUAGAGUCCGGAAGAGGAGAGUGGACUUCCUGGUGUAGCGGUGAAAUGCGCAGAUAUCAGGAGGAACACCCGUGGCGAAAGCGGCUCUCUGGGACGGUACUGACGCUGAGACGCGAAAGCGUGGGGAGCAAACAGG